rnacentral:sRNA from 1 species
UCCGUAGGUGAACCUGCGGAGGGAUCAUUACAGAGUUGCAAAACUCCCUAAACCAUUGUGAACGUUACCUUCAAACCGUUGCUUCGGCGGGCGGCCCGGGUCCGCCCGGUGCCCCCUGGCCCCCUAGCGGGGCGCCCGCCGGAGGAAACCCAACUCUUGAUUAUUAUGGCCUCUCUGAGUCUUCUGUACUGAAUAAGUCAAAACUUUCAACAACGGAUCUCUUGGUUCUGGCAUCGAUGAAGAACGCAGCGAAAUGCGAUAAGUAAUGUGAAUUGCAGAAUUCAGUGAAUCAUCGAAUCUUUGAACGCACAUUGCGCCCGCCAGUAUUCUGGCGGGCAUGCCUGUUCGAGCGUCAUUUCAACCAUCAAGCCCCAGGCUUGUGUUGGGGACCUGCGGCUGCCGCAGGCCCUGAAAACCAGUGGCGGGCUCGCUGUCACACCGGGCGUAGUAGAUUUUAUCUCGCUCAGGGCGUGCUGCGGGUUCCGGCCGUUAAAAGCCUUUUUUACCCAAGGUUGACCUCGGAUCAGGUAGGAACACCCGCUGAACUUAAGCAUAUCAAUAAGCGGAGGA